GAUGAAUUGAUUUAGUUAAGAUAGUACCAGGUGAAGGAGCCUCGCUAGGAUGAAUUGAUUUAGUUAAGAUAGUACCAGGUGAAGGAGCCUCGCUAGGAUGAAUUGAUUUAGUUAAGAUAGUACCAGGUGAAGGAGCCGCGCUCGGAUGAAUUGAUUUAGUUAAGAUAGUACCAGGUGAAGGAGCCGCGCUCGGAUGAAUUGAUUUAGUUAAGAUAGUACCAGGUGAAGGAGCCGCGCUCGGAUGAAUUGAUUUAGUUAAGACUACCAGGUGAAGGAGCCUCGCUCGGAUGAAUUGAUUUAGUUAAGAUAGUACCAGGUGAAGGAGCCUCGCUCGGAUGAAUUGAUUUAGUUAAGAUAGUACCAGGUGAAGGAGCUUCGC
rnacentral:sRNA from 1 species